rnacentral:rRNA from 1 species
CACGAACGCUGGCGGCAGGCUUAACACAUGCAAGUCGAGCGCCCCGCAAGGGGAGCGGCAGACGGGUGAGUAACGCGUGGGAAUCUACCCAUCUCUACGGAAUAACGCAUGGAAACGUGUGCUAAUACCGUAUACGUCCUUCGGGAGAAAGAUUUAUCGGAGAUGGAUGAGCCCGCGUUGGAUUAGCUAGUUGGUGGGGUAAAGGCCUACCAAGGCGACGAUACAUAGCUGGUCUGAGAGGAUGAUCAGCAACACUGGGACUGAGACACGGCCCAGACUCCUACGGGAGGCAGCAGUGGGGAAUAUUGGACAAUGGGCGCAAGCCUGAUCCAGCCAUGCCGCGUGAGUGAUGAAGGCCCUAGGGUUGUAAAGCUCUUUCACCGGUGAAGAUAAUGACGGUAACCGGAGAAGAAGCCCCGGCUAACUUCGUGCCAGCAGCCGCGGUAACAC